GACGAACGCUGGCGGCGUGCUUAACACAUGCAAGUCGAGCGGUAAGGCCCUUCGGGGUACACGAGCGGCGAACGGGUGAGUAACACGUGGGUGAUCUGCCUCGUACUUCGGGAUAAGCCUGGGAAACUGGGUCUAAUACCGGAUAUGACCUUCGGCUGCAUGUCUGAGGGUGGAAAGAUUUAUCGGUACGAGAUGGGCCCGCGGCCUAUCAGCUUGUUGGUGGGGUAAUGGCCUACCAAGGCGACGACGGGUAGCCGGCCUGAGAGGGCGACCGGCCACACUGGGACUGAGACACGGCCCAGACUCCUACGGGAGGCAGCAGUGGGGAAUAUUGCACAAUGGGCGAAAGCCUGAUGCAGCGACGCCGCGUGAGGGAUGACGGCCUUCGGGUUGUAAACCUCUUUCGACAGGGACGAAGCGCAAGUGACGGUACCUGUAGAAGAAGCACCGGCCAACUACGUGCCAGCCGCCGCGGUAAGAC
rnacentral:rRNA from 1 species